rnacentral:rRNA from 1 species
AGCUCACCUUAGUUCCUCUAUUAUUUUAAACAGACCCCAAAACUUAAGAGCUAUUCAAAUAAGGCACAGCUUAUUUGAAACAGGAUACAACCUAUAAUAUAGGGUAAGUAAGGACAAACCAAAUCAAGUGGGCCUAAAAGCAGCCACCUUUUAAAAAGCGUUAAAGCUUAACCUCUCCUAACCACAAUUUCACAACCCCCUACCAACCCCUCACCACUAUUGAACAAUUUUAUAUUUUUAUAAAAGCUAUUAUGCUAGAACUAGUAACAAGAAAUUGCCUUUCUCCUAAAUGUAAACAUAAACCAAAAUAGACCAUCUAUUGGUUAUUAACGUAAAUGCCAAACUACAGCAACACUUGCUAGAAAACCCUAUAGGCCCAAACGUUAACCUUACACCAGAACAUUCCAGGAAAGAUUAAAAGAAAGAGAAGGAACUCGGCAAAUUUUAACCCCGCCUGUUUACCAAAAACAUCGCCUCUUGCCAAUACAUGAGAGGUCCAGCCUGCCCAGUGACAAAGUUCAACGGCCGCGGUACCCUAACCGUGCGAAGGUAGCAUAAUCACUUGUUCUUUAAAUAGGGACUUGUAUCAACGGCACUACGAGGGUUAUACUGUCUCCUCUUUCCAAUCAGUGAAACUGAUCUCCCCGUGAAGAAGCGGGGAUUAUCAUAUAAGACGAGAAGACCCCAUGGAGCUUUAAACUCACCAUACACCUCUAUGUUACCAUAUCCCAUAGCACAAGAGACCUGUAUGUUAGUUUUAGGUUGGGGGGACCACGGAGCACAACUUAACCUCCAUAACAAAUGGGCUAACACCCUUAUCCACGAGACACAACUCUAAGAAUUACUAAACUAAUGCUUAUGACCCGAUAUUCGAUCAAUGAACCAAGUUACCCUGGGGAUAACAGCGCAAUCUACUUCAAGAGCUCAUAUCGACAAGUAGGUUUACGACCUCGAUGUUGGAUCAGGUAUCCCGGUGGUGCAACCGCUACCAAUGGUUCGUUUGUUCAACGAUCAAAACUCUACGUGAUCUG